UGCUGUUUGUCUUUGUAGGACAGUAGUUCAGGUGGCUGUUUGUGUAGAUGCUGUUUGUCUUUGUAGGACAGUAGUUCAGGUGGCUGUUUGUGUAGAUGCUGUUUGUCUUUGUAGGACAGUAGUUCAGGUGGCUGUUUGUCUUUGUAGGACAGUAGUUCAGGUGGCUGUUUGUGUAGAUGCUGUUUGUCUUUGUAGGACAGUAGUUCAGGUGGCUGUUUGUCUUUGUAGGACAGUAGUUCAGGUGGCUGUUUGUCUUUGUAGGACAGUAGUUCAGGUGGCUGUUUGUCUUUGUAGGACAGUAGUUCAGGUGGCUGUUUGUGUAGAUGCUGUUUGUCUUUGUAGGACAGUAGUUCAG
ensembl:lncRNA